rnacentral:rRNA from 1 species
UGCGUGUCGAACGGUGAAGCCCUUCGGGGUGGAUCAGUGGCGAACGGGUGAGUAACACGUGGGCAAUCUGCCCUGCACUCUGGGACAAGCCCUGGAAACGGGGGCUAAUACCGGAUACGACCUUCCUCUGCAUGGGGGUUGGUGGAAAGCUCCGGCGGUGCAGGAUGAGCCCGCGGCCUAUCAGCUUGUUGGUGGGGUAAUGGCCUACCAAGGCGACGACGGGUAGCCGGCCUGAGAGGGCGACCGGCCACACUGGGACUGAGACACGGCCCAGACUCCUACGGGAGGCAGCAGUGGGGAAUAUUGCACAAUGGGCGAAAGCCUGAUGCAGCGACGCCGCGUGAGGGAUGACGGCCUUCGGGUUGUAAACCUCUUUCAGCAGGGAAGAAGCGCAAGUGACGGUACCUGCAGAAGAAGCACCGGCUAACUACGUGCCAGCAGCCGCGGUAAUACGUAGGGUGCGAGCGUUGUCCGGAAUUAUUGGGCGUAAAGAGCUCGUAGGCGGCCUGUCGCGUCGGAUGUGAAAGCCCGGGGCUUAACCCCGGGUCUGCAUUCGAUACGGGCAGGCUAGAGUGUGGUAGGGGAGAUCGGAAUUCCUGGUGUAGCGGUGAAAUGCGCAGAUAUCAGGAGGAACACCGGUGGCGAAGGCGGAUCUCUGGGCCAUUACUGACGCUGAGGAGCGAAAGCGUGGGGAGCGAACAGGAUUAGAUACCCUGGUAGUCCACGCCGUAAACGUUGGGAACUAGGUGUUGGCGACAUUCCACGUCGUCGGUGCCGCAGCUAACGCAUUAAGUUCCCCGCCUGGGGAGUACGGCCGCAAGGCUAAAACUCAAAGGAAUUGACGGGGGGCCCGCACAAGCAGCGGAGCAUGUGGCUUAAUUCGACGCAACGCGAAGAACCUUACUCAAGGCUUGACAUAUGCCGGAAACAUCCAGAGAUGGUG